AGUGAACGCUGGCGGUAGGCCUAACACAUGCAAGUCGAACGGCAGCACAGUAAGAGCUUGCUCUUACGGGUGGCGAGUGGCGGACGGGUGAGGAAUACAUCGGAAUCUACUUUUUCGUGGGGGAUAACGUAGGGAAACUUACGCUAAUACCGCAUACGACCUACGGGUGAAAGCAGGGGAUCUUCGGACCUUGCGCGAUUGAAUGAGCCGAUGUCGGAUUAGCUAGUUGGCGGGGUAAAGGCCCACCAAGGCGACGAUCCGUAGCUGGUCUGAGAGGAUGAGGAGCAACCCUGGGACGGACGCACGGCCAGGACUCCUACGGGAGGCCGCAGGGGGGAAUAUUGGACAAUGGGCGAAAGCCUGAUCCAGCAAUGCCGCGUGAGUGAGGAAGGCUUGAGGGUUGUAAAGCUCUUGUACCCGGGAUGAUAAUGACAGUACCGUGAGAAUAAGCGCCGGCUAACUCCGUG
rnacentral:rRNA from 1 species